rnacentral:misc_RNA from 1 species
UGCAGUGGUGGCGGGACAAU